rnacentral:tRNA from 1 species
UGGCUCAGUGGUAGAGCACUUGCCUUGCAUGCAUGAUGCCCUGAGUUCAAUUCCUCAG